CGUGUAGGCGGCUCGUUAAGUCUCUGGUGAAAUCUCCCGGCUUAACUGGGAGGGUAUCAGAGAAACUGGCGGGCUUGAGGGCAGCAGAGGGGAGUGGAAUUCCCGGUGUAGUGGUGAUAUGCGUAGAUAUCGGGAGGAACACCUGUGGCGAAAGCGGCUCUCUGGGCUGUUCCUGACGCUGAGGCGCGAAAGCGUGGGGAGCAAACAGGAUUAGAUACCCUGGUAGUCCACGCCACAAACGAUGGACACUAGGUAUGGGGGGGUAUCGACCCCCUCCGUGCCGAAGCUAACGCUUUAAGUGUCCCGCCUGGGGAUUACGGCCGCAAGGCUAAA
rnacentral:rRNA from 1 species